GUGUCCAGUAUUCUCCUCUAUCAAGAGCCAAGCAGGAGCAUCUGCCAACAUGGGGCCUCUGUGACGAUCCAGUGUCAGGUGGAUAGCCAAGUUUCCCUGAUGUUCUGGUACCGUCAGCCCCCGGGACAGGGUUUGAUGCUGAUUGCCAUUGCAAACCAAGACUCUGAGGCCACAUAUGAGAGUGGAUUUUUCAAAGAUAAGUUUCCCAUCAGCCGCCCAAACCUAACAUUCUCAACUCUGACUGUGAACAACGUGAGCCCCGAAGACAGCAGCUUAUAUCUCUGCAGUGCUGGAGACACAGUGCUGGACACAGAUC
rnacentral:lncRNA from 1 species